UUACACAUGCAAGUCGAACGGCAGCAGUAUCUAGUUUACUAGAUAGCUGGCGAGUGGCGAACGGGUGAGUAAAGCGUAGGGAUCUGCCGUGGAGCGGGGGACAACCCGGGGAAACUCGGGCUAAUACCGCGUACGCCCGCAAGGGGAAAGGGUGCGCCCGCAAGGGGCACUCGCUCUGCGAUGAACCUACGUCCGAUUAGCUAGUUGGUGGGGUAAAGGCCCACCAAGGCGACGAUCGGUAGCUGGUCUGAGAGGACGAACAGCCACACUGGGACUGAGACACGGCCCAGACUCCUACGGGAGGCAGCAGUGGGGAAUAUUGGACAAUGGGGGCAACCCUGAUCCAGCGAUGCCGCGUGUGUGAAGAAGGCCUGCGGGUUGUAAAGCACUUUUAUUGGUGAGGAAAGCAAAUAGAUUAAGAGUUAAUUUGUAUGACGUUAACCAAAGAAUAAGCACCGGCUAACUCCGUGCCAGCAGCCGCGGUAAUACGGAGGGUGCAAGCGCUAAUCGGAAUUACUGGGCGUAAAGGGUGCGUAGGUUGUUAUUUAAGUUAGCUGUGAAAUACCCGGGCUUAACCUGGGGGUGUCAGCUAAUACUGGGUAACUAGAGAACAGUAGAGGGUGGCGGAAUUUCCGGAGUAGCGGUGAAAUGCGUAGAGAUCUGGAGGAACAUCAGUGGCGAAGGCGACUCACUGGGCCAUUAUUGACGCUGAGGUGCGAAAGCGUGGGUAGCAAACAGGAUUAGAUACCCUGGUAGUCCACGCCCUAAACGAUGUCAACUAGGUGUAUGGGAAAUUUAUUUCUUGUGUAUCGAAGCUAACGCGAUAAGUUGACCGCCUGGGGAGUACGGUCGCAAGACUAAAACUCAAAUGAAUUGACGGGGGCCCGCACAAGCGGUG
rnacentral:rRNA from 1 species